rnacentral:piRNA from 1 species
UCUCUUAGUCAGGAAAGACAGUUAAUCAGU